CAGUCGCCACGGUAAUACGUAGGGGGCAAGCGUUAUCCGGAAUUACUGGGUGUAAAGGGAGCGCAGACGGUUAAACAAGUCUGAAGUGAAAUGCCGGGGCUCAACCCCGGAGCUGCUUUGGGAACUGUAGAACUGGAGUGUCGGAGGGGUAAGCGGAAUUCCCAGUGUAGCGAUGAAAUGCGUAGAUAUUGGGAGGAACACCGGCGGCGAAGGCGGCUUACUGGACGACAACUGACGUUGAGGCUCGAAGGCGUGGGUAGCAAACUGGAUUAGAUACCCCCGUAGUCCCUGUCUCUUAUCU
rnacentral:rRNA from 1 species